GAUGAACGCUGGCGGCGUGCCUAAUACAUGCAAGUCGAGCGAACAGACGAGGAGCUUGCUCCUCUGACGUUAGCGGCGGACGGGUGAGUAACACGUGGAUAACCUACCUAUAAGACUGGGAUAACUUCGGGAAACCGGAGCUAAUACCGGAUAAUAUAUUGAACCGCAUGGUUCAAUAGUGAAAGACGGUUUUGCUGUCACUUAUAGAUGGAUCCGCGCCGCAUUAGCUAGUUGGUAAGGUAACGGCUUACCAAGGCAACGAUGCGUAGCCGACCUGAGAGGGUGAUCGGCCACACUGGAACUGGGACACGGUCCAGACUCCUACGGGAGGCAGCAGUAGGGAAUCUUCCGCAAUGGGCGAAAGCCUGACGGAGCAACGCCGCGUGAGUGAUGAAGGUCUUCGGAUCGUAAAACUCUGUUAUUAGGGAAGAACAAAUGUGUAAGUAACUAUGCACGUCUUGACGGUACCUACUCAGAAAGCCACGGCUAACUACGUG
rnacentral:rRNA from 1 species